rnacentral:rRNA from 1 species
GUAGGGAAUCUUCGGCAAUGGGGGCAACCCUGACCGAGCAACGCCGCGUGAGUGAAGAAGGUUUUCGGAUCGUAAAGCUCUGUUGUAAGAGAAGAACGUGUGUGAGAGUGGAAAGUUCACACAGUGACGGUAACUUACCAGAAAGGGACGGCUAACUACGUGCCAGCAGCCGCGGUAAUACGUAGGUCCCGAGCGUUGUCCGGAUUUAUUGGGCGUAAAGCGAGCGCAGGCGGUUUAAUAAGUCUGAAGUUAAAGGCAGUGGCUUAACCAUUGUUCGCUUUGGAAACUGUUAAACUUGAGUGCAGAAGGGGAGAGUGGAAUUCCAUGUGUAGCGGUGAAAUGCGUAGAUAUAUGGAGGAACACCGGUGGCGAAAGCGGCUCUCUGGUCUGUAACUGACGCUGAGGCUCGAAAGCGUGGGGAGCAAACAGGAUUAGAAACCCGGGUAGUCC